UGCUGGAGGUAUCAGAAGUGCGAAUGCUGACAUAAGUAACGAUAAAGCGGGUGAAAAGCCCGCUCGCCGGAAGACCAAGGGUUCCUGUCCAACGUUAAUCGGGGCAGGGUGAGUCGACCCCUAAGGCGAGGCCGAAAGGCGUAGUCGAUGGGAAACAGGUUAAUAUUCCUGUACUUGGUGUUACUGCGAAGGGGGGACGGAGAAGGCUAUGUUAGCCGGGCGACGGUUGUCCCGGUUUAAGCAUGUAGGCUGAUUAUCCAGGCAAAUCCGGAUAAUCAAGGCUGAGGUGUGAUGACGAGGCACUACGGUGCUGAAGUAACAAAUGCCCUGCUUCCAGGAAAAGCCUCUAAGCAUCAGGUAACAUCAAAUCGUACCCCAAACCGACACAGGUGGUCAGGUAGAGAAUACCAAGGCGCUUGAGAGAACUCGGGUGAAGGAACUAGGCAAAAUGGUGCCGUAACUUCGGGAGAAGGCACGCUGGUGUGUAGGUGAAGCCCCUGCGGGUGGAGCUGAGACCAGUCGAAGAUACCAGCUGGCUGCAACUGUUUAUUAAAAACACAGCACUGUGCAAACACGAAAGUGGACGUAUACGGUGUGACGCCUGCCCGGUGCCGGAAGGUUAAUUGAUGGGGUUAUCCGUAAGGAGAAGCUCUUGAUCGAAGCCCCGGUAAACGGCGGCCGUAACUAUAACGGUCCUAAGGUAGCGAAAUUCCUUGUCGGGUAAGUUCCGACCUGCACGAAUGGCGUAAUGAUGGCCAGGCUGUCUCCACCCGAGACUCAGUGAAAUUGAACUCGCUGUGAAGAUGCAGUGUACCCGCGGCAAGACGGAAAGACCCCGUGAACCUUUACUAUAGCUUGACACUGAACAUUGAGCCUUGAUGUGUAGGAUAGGUGGGAGGCUUUGAAGCGUGGACGCCAGUCUGCGUGGAGCCAACCUUGAAAUACCACCCUUUAAUGUUUGAUGUUCUAACGUUGGCCCCUUACCGGGGUUGCGGACAGUGUCUGGUGGGUAGUUUGACUGGGGCGGUCUCCUCCCAAAGCGUAACGGAGGAGCACGAAGGUUAGCUAAUCCUGGUCGGACAUCAGGAGGUUAGUGCAAUGGCAUAAGCUAGCUUGACUGCGAGCGUGACGGCGCGAGCAGGUGCGAAAGCAGGUCAUAGUGAUCCGGUGGUUCUGAAUGGAAGGGCCAUCGCUCAACGGAUAAAAGGUACUCCGGGGAUAACAGGCUGAUACCGCCCAAGAGUUCAUAUCGACGGCGGUGUUUGGCACCUCGAUGUCGGCUCAUCACAUCCUGGGGCUGAAGUAGGUCCCAAGGGUAUGGCUGUUCGCCAUUUAAAGUGGUACGCGAGCUGGGUUUAGAACGUCGUGAGACAGUUCGGUCCCUAUCUGCCGUGGGCGCUGGAGAAUUGAGGGGGGCUGCUCCUAGUACGAGAGGACCGGAGUGGACGCAUCACUGGUGUUCGGGUUGUCAUGCCAAUGGCACUGCCCGGUAGCUAAAUGCGGAAGAGAUAAGUGCUGAAAGCAUCUAAGCACGAAACUUGCCCCGAGAUGAGUUCUCCCUGAGACUUUAAGUCUCCUGAAGGAACGUUGAAGACGACGACGUUGAUAGGCCGGGUGUGUAAGCGCAGCGAUGCGUUGAGCUAACCGGUACUAAUGAACCGUGAGGCUUAACCUU
rnacentral:rRNA from 1 species